AAUUUUGGGCAAUGGGCGAAAGCCUGACCCAGCAACGCCGCGUGAAGGAUGAAGUCUUUCGGGAUGUAAACUUCGUAAGAAUGGGAAGAAUAAAUGACGGUACCAUUUGUAAGGUCCGGCUAACUACGUGCCAGCAGCCGCGGUAAUACGUAGGGACCAAGCGUUGUUCGGAUUUACUGGGCGUAAAGGGCGCGUAGGCGGCGUGUUAAGUCAGCUGUGAAAUCUCCAAGCUUAACUUGGAACGGUCAGCUGAUACUGAUGUGCUAGAGUGCGGAAGGGGCAAUCGGAAUUCUUGGUGUAGCGGUGAAAUGCGUAGAUAUCAAGAGGAACACCUGAGGUGAAGACGGGUUGCUGGGCCGACACUGACGCUGAGGCGCGAAAGCUAGGGUAGCAAAC
rnacentral:rRNA from 1 species